rnacentral:rRNA from 1 species
AUUGAACGCUGGCGGCAGGCCUAACACAUGCAAGUCGAGCGGCGCGGCGGCCGGGCGAGUAAUGCCUAGGAAUCUGCCUGGUCGUGGGGGAUAACGUCCGGCCACGGGCGCUAAUCCCGCAUCCUUUCACAUGAGCCUAGGUCGGAUUGGCUAGUUGCUGGGGUAAAGUACUACCAAGGCGACGAUCCGUAACUGGGCUGAGAGGAUGAUCAGUCACACUGGAACUGAGACACGGUCCAGAAUCCAACGGGAGGCAGCAGUGGGGAAUAUUGCACAAUGGGCGAAAGCCUGAUGCAGCCAAGGCGCGUGAGUGAAGAAGGUCUUCGGAUUGUAAAGCACUUUAAGUUGGGAGGCGUUACCAACAGAAUAAGCACCGGCUAACUUCGUGCCAGCAGCCGCGGUAAUUC